rnacentral:rRNA from 1 species
AGAGUUUGAUCCUGGCUCAGAUUGAACGCUGGCGGCAUGCUUUAGACAUGCAAGUCGAACGGAAACAGGACGCUGUGAUCUCUUCGGAGUGAACUUGUCGCUGUCGAGUGGCGGACGGGUGAGUAAUGCUUAGGAAUCUGCCCAUUUGUGGGGGACAACAGUUGGAAACGGCUGCUAAUACCGCAUAAGCCCUACGGGGGAAAGCAGGGGAUCUUCGGACCUUGCGCUAAUGGAUGAGCCUAAGUCGGAUUAGCUUGUUGGUGGGGUAAUGGCCUACCAAGGCAACGAUCCGUAGCUGGUCUGAGAGGACGAUCAGCCACACUGGGACUGAGACACGGCCCAGACUCCUACGGGAGGCAGCAGUCGGGAAUAUUGGACAAUGGGCGAAAGCCUGAUCCAGCAAUGCCGCGUGUGUGAAGAAGGCCUGAGGGUUGUAAAGCACUUUCAGUAGCGAGGAAAAGCCUAAGGUUAAUAACCUUGAGCCUUGACGUUACCUACAGAAGAAGCACCGGCUAACUCCGUGCCAGCAGCCGCGGUAAUACGGAGGGUGCGAGCGUUAAUCGGAAUGACUGGGCGUAAAGCGAGCGCAGGCGGUCUGAUCAGUCGGAUGUGAAAGCCCCGGGCUUAACCUGGGAAUUGCAUUCGAUACUGUCAGACUAGAGUAUGGGAGAGGGAAGUGGAAUUUCUAGUGUAGCGGUGAAAUGCGUAGAUAUUAGAAGGAACACCAGUGGCGAAGGCGGCUUCCUGGCCCAAUACUGACGCUCAGGCUCGAAAGCGUGGGGAGCGAACAGGAUUAGAUACCCUGGUAGUCCACGCCGUAAACGAUGAGAACUAGAUGUUGGGAGGAUUUUGCCUCUCAGUGUCGCAGCUAACGCAUUAAGUUCUCCGCCUGGGGAGUACGCCGGCAACGGUAAAACUCAAAGGAAUUGACGGGGACCCGCACAAGCGGUGGAGCAUGUGGUUUA